GGGGGUGUUGCUCAGUGGUAGAGCAUGUGCCUAGCAUGAGCAAGGCCUUAGGUUUGAUCCCAGCACCACAA
rnacentral:tRNA from 1 species